rnacentral:tRNA from 1 species
ACCUGGGUGGUUCAGUUAGUUAAGCGUCUGACUUCAGCUCAGGCCAUGAUCUUGUGUUCCGUGGGUUCAAGCCCCACGUCGGGUU